CAGUAGCGUAUAUUUAAGUUGCUGCAGUUAAAAAGCUCGUAGUUGGAUUUCGGGUGGGAAUGGCCGGUCCGCCGUUUCGGUGUGCACUUGCUACGCCCACCUUGCUGCCGGGGACGUGCUCUUGAGUUCACGCUCGGGACACGGAGUCGGCGAGGUUACUUUGAGUAAAUUAGAGUGUUCAAAGCAGGCCUACGCUCUGAAUACAUUAGCAUGGAAUAACACGAUAGGACUCUGGCCUAUCUUGUUGGUCUGUAGGACCGGAGUAAUGAUUAAGAGGGACAGUCGGGGGCACUCGUAUUUCAUUGUCAGAGGUGAAAUUCUUGGAUUUAUGAAAGACGAACUACUGCGAAAGCAUUUGCCAAGGAUGUUUUCAUUAA
rnacentral:rRNA from 1 species